UCCCUCGCCCCGCCCGGACCCCGGGGCUGCGCCUGCACAAGGGGCGAAGGCCCCAAAUGCAUCCCCGGCCUUGCCCGGCGCAGCACGACCCCGCCGCCCACCCUCGCUACCUGGGCUUGAGGCUGGGGCUGCUGCCGCCGCUGCCGCCGCCGCUACCGCUGCUGCUGCCGCCGCCGCCGCCGCCGCUGCCGCCGCCGUUGCUGCUGCUGGUGGCGGCGAUCGCGCGGGGGUAUACCCAGCUUUGCUCAGGGCUUACUCCUGGUUCUGUGUUCAGGGAUCACUGCUGGUGGACUCAGAGGACCAACCAUACGGAGCACUGUGGAGCAAACCCAGGUCAACUGUGUGCAAGGGAAUGCACACAACAGUGCUGACUGGACUGAACUCAGCAUGUGGGUGUUGCUGCAGAUCAAACUCAAGGCUUCAUACCUGCAAGACUUGAGAGUGUGCCUUUGGGCCCUGCUGCGGAUCGAGCAUGAUGGAAGACCCCAAAAGAGCGCCCUUGGACUCCAAGCAGCCCACUGAACUAAUUCCGGCACAGGAUCGGAGACCCCAUGGCGGGCUGCGAGAGUGGAAACCGGGCAUUCCCCAAUUCUUUUAACCUCUCUCUCUCAAUCCCUUCCUCCCGAGCACAGCGCAGGGUCCAUGGCUUUCUGAGCGCAAAAUGGAGAUGCCGAGCCUCUCUCUAGGUUUCUCCAUCUUAUGAGCACCAUAAAAGGGUAAAAGUUUGUAGUGAUGUUAUUUCUGGUUGUACUUUCCCUGGACUUUAUAUAGAAACCCAAAACCGCGCGGCCGCUGCCUCAGCAAUAUGUAAUGGUUCCUUUAUAACGGGUUGGACUUUUGUGGGAGAUCCUAACAAGAAUAGUAAGUCUUUUGCUGAAAUAUUGAAGGCAAUCAAAGGGGUAGCCAUCUCUCUAGACUGAACUAAGCUAUAUCCCCACGCCGGCUGAGAAGAAAUAUCCUUCUUUCUCGGGAAGAAACGCGGCGUGGCCAGCGAGACCAUAGCCGGUUUUUAGACUCUACAGGAAGCCCGGGAUAGCCGAUGGGCGGGACUCCCAGAUCCGCCCUGUGCCGGCCGACAUUUAAGCACAGAGCCAUGUGGGGACGCUCCUUUGCGGCCCCGCGCGAGAUCAACCCCGGAGGCAACUGAACCACUUUGGACAGGAGCGGCGCCCCCAAAAUGCCUCCAAACUGUGUGCUGGGAGCUUCUGGCCCAGGCGCUGCCAGCGAGUGAUGCAAUUACCAAAAGAAUUUUCCUUGGACUUCAUAUAGAAAUCCAAAACCGCGCGGCCUAAUGUCUCUUGAUUGUCAGCAACGUGUAAAUGUUCCUUUUUGGCAGGGCUUAACGUGGGGGGAAACUCCAAACAAUAGUACUAAGCUUUUUUGUUAAAGGGUAAAAGAUUGUAGCGAUAGAAUUUUAGGCAGAAUUUUCCCUGGACUUUAUAUAGAAACCCAAAACCGCGUGGCCGCGGCAGCCUAAUGUCAUCUAAUCAUCAGCAAUAUGAAAUGGUUCCUUUGUAAUGGGUUGGACUUUGGGGGGACCAUAAUAGGGUUAAAGUUUGUAGCGAUGUGUAAUUUCUGGCUGUACUUUCCCUGGACUUUAUACAGAAAUUCAAAGCCGCGAGGCUGCUGCCAUGGCCGCGCAACCUAUUGUCAUUUAAUCAUCACCAAUAUGAAAUGGUUCCCUUUUAACGGGUCGGACUUUGGUGGGAAAUCCUAACAAGAAUAGUAAGUCUUUUGCUGAAAUAUUGAAGGCCACCAAAGUGGUAGCCAUCUCUAUAGACUGAACUAAGCCAUAUCCCCACGCCGGCUGAGAAGAAAUAUCCUUCUUUCUCGGGAAGAAACGAGGCGUGGCGUUAACCAUAGUAUGAUGUCCAUUAAGCUGACACGGACCUGGUGGCGUGGGAAUCGGAUACAAGGGAAUAAAUUAUUAUGUACUUGGAACAGCGGGACGCUGGUGGAAUCUUGAGCCGGGGCCGAUACCAGCGUAUUACUUUUGGUUCCAGAAACUGCUUGCAGACAUUCUACCAGACUAUUAACUAAGCCAGAGCCCCACGCCGGCUGAUGACGAGAAAUAACCAUCUCUUUUGGUUUGUUUUCCCUUUGUCAGGCAGCGUGGUGAUUACUAAACAGGCGUGAUCUCGGUGGCACGGGACGAGGGGGGAAAAAAUAGAAAAGUUAUGUAACAAACAGCGGGACUUAAUAUCUCUACAUUCUCAGCAAUGGAGAGCCAUCAAAUGCUUCCUUGACAGUGGGACUGUCUUCUCUUUUUUGGGGGGAAACCCUAGCAACAAUAGUGAAUUAUGUGUUGAAACAUGGACUGUAACCAAGAUAAAGCGUAAACGAAGUGAAACUUAUCACUUACAA